rnacentral:rRNA from 1 species
GGUGCCUUCGGGAACUCUGACACAGGUGCCGCAUGGCUGUCGUCAGCUCGUGUCGUGAGAUGUUGGGUUAAGGUCCCGUAACGAGCGCAACCCUUGUCCCUAGUUACCAGCACGUUAUGGUGGGCACUCUAAGGAGACUGCCGGUGACAACCGGAGGAAGGUGGGGAGUGACGUCAAGUCAUCAUGGCCCUUACGGCCUGGGCUACACACGUGCUACAAUGGUCGGUACAAAGGGUUGCCAAGCCGCGAGGUGGAGCUAAUCCCAUAAAACCGAUCGUAGUCCGGAUCGCAGUCUGCAACUCGACUGCGUGAAGUCGGAAUCGCUAGUAAUCGUGAAUCAGAAUGUCACGGUGAAUACGUUCCCGGGCCUU